CAAACAUUUACUAAACCUCCAGUGACUACAAGGAAACACCUCUAACAGCAAAGUUCCCUGGGGAUUUGAAGACACGCCUAUGAAUCACAGGAACCAGAUUUCCCAAAGAGACUUUCCACUGGGAGGAGAAUAUACUGAUUGGCUGACGCCAGUGUUCUGGCAUCUAACCGGUAGUUACAUUGACCGUAUAAAGGCACCAGCUGCCAUUCUGCCUCUGGCUAACAGCUUGGAUGCAUUGGGCACUAACCAAACGCUCUAGAUGUGUCCUGUAUAAGCCUCGUCUCAUUUAUUCUUCUCAACAAUGCUAUCAAGGGUAGGGGCAGCCUGCAUGCAGGACAGGUGUUUCUCUUCUGCUCCCGUUCUCCAGCCACUAGGCAAACAUGAGUCAAGGCAAGUCUGAAGCCAGGUCUACAUCUGCCCCAAAGAUUCAAUUUCUCCAUAGGCAGGUCCAAAAUUUAGAUGUGGGAGGAAGGUUCAGAC